UACGUAGGGGGCAAGCGUUGUCCGGAUUUAUUGGGCGUAAAGAGCUCGUAGGUGGUUUGGUUAGUCGGAUGUGAAAUCUCCAGGCUCAACCUGGAGGGGUCAUUCGAUACUGCCAUGACUAGAGGUCGGUAGGGGAGUGUGGAAUUCCUGGUGGAGCGGUGAAAUGCGCAGAUAUCAGGAAGAACACCCGUGGCGAAGGCGGCUCUCUGGGACGGUACUGACGCUGAGACGCGAAAGCGUGGGGAGCGAACAGG
rnacentral:rRNA from 1 species